rnacentral:rRNA from 1 species
AACGAACGCUGGCGGCAGGCUUAACACAUGCAAGUCGAGCGCCCCGCAAGGGGAGCGGCGGACGGGUGAGUAACGCGUGGGAAUCUACCCACCUCUACGGAAUAACGCAUGGAAACGUGUGCUAAUACCGUAUACGUCCUUCGGGAGAAAGAUUUAUCGGAGAUGGGUGAGCCCGCGUUGGAUUAGCUAGUUGGUGGGGUAAAGGCCUACAAAGGCGACGAUCCAUAGCUGGUCUGAGAGGAUGAUCAGCCACACUGGGACUGAGACACGGCCCAGACUCCUACGGGAGGCAGCAGUGGGGAAUAUUGGACAAUGGGCGCAAGCCUGAUCCAGCCAUGCCGCGUGAGUGAUGAAGGCCCUAGGGUUGUAAAGCUCUUUCACCGGUGAAGAUAAUGACGGUAACCGGAGAAGAAGCCCCGGCUAACUUCGUGCCAGCCGCCGCCGUAACAC